rnacentral:rRNA from 1 species
UACGAAGGGGGCUAGCGUUGCUCGGAUUACUGGGCGUAAAGGGCGCGUAGGCGGACAGUUUAGUCAGAGGUGAAAGCCCAGGGCUCAACCUUGGAAUUGCCUUUGAUACUGGCUGUCUUGAGUACGGGAGAGGUGAGUGGAACUCCGAGUGUAGAGGUGAAAUUCGUAGAUAUUCGGAAGAACACCAGUGGCGAAGGCGACUCACUGGCCCGUUACUGACGCUGAGGCGCGAAAGCGUGGGAGCAAACAGG